rnacentral:rRNA from 1 species
UACGUAGGUGGCGAGCGUUGUCCGGAUUUACUGGGCGUAAAGGAUGCGUAGGCGGAUAUUUAAGUGAGAUGUGAAAUACCCGGGCUUAACUUGGGUGCUGCAUUUCAAACUGGAUAUCUAGAGUGCGGGAGAGGAGAAUGGAAUUCCUAGUGUAGCAGUGAAAUGCGUAGAGAUUAGGAAGAACACCAGUGGCGAAGGCGAUUCUCUGGACCGUAACUGACGCUGAGGCAUGAAAGCGUGGGUAGCAAACAGG